AACGAACGCUGGCGGCGUGCUUAACACAUGCAAGUCAAGGGGAAAUGGGGUUCGCCUCAGAGUAUACUGGCGCACGGGUGAGUAAUACGUGAGCAACCUACCUAAUUGAUCGGGAUAACCUGCCGAAAGGUGAGCUAAUACCGGAUAUGAAAUUGUCUGCAUGGAUGAUUUGGAAAGGCUGGGGUAACCUAGCGCGAUUAGAUGGGCUCGCGCCCCAUUAGCUAGUUGGUGAGGGUAAUGGCCCACCAAGGCAACGAUGGGUAACCGGCCUGAGAGGGUGGCCGGUCACACUGGAACUGAGACACGGUCCAGACUCCUACGGGAGGCAGCAGUGGGGAAUAUUGCGCAAUGGGCGGAAGCCUGACGCAGCGACGCCGCGUGAGGGAUGACGGCCUUCGGGUUGUAAACCUCUUUCAGCAGGGACGAAUUGUGACGGUACCUGUAGAAGAAGCACCGGCCAACUAUGUGCCAGCCGCCGCAGUAACAC
rnacentral:rRNA from 1 species